CGAUAGAGAUGUGGAGGAACACCAGUGGCGAAGGCGACUCUCUGGUCUGUAACUGACGCUGAGGAGCGAAAGCGUGGGGAGCGAACAGGAUUAGAUACCCUGGUAGUCCACGCCGUAAACGAUGAGUGCUAAGUGUUAGGGGGUUUCCGCCCCUUAGUGCUGCAGCUAACGCAUUAAGCACUCCGCCUGGGGAGUACGGUCGCAAGACUGAAACUCAAAGGAAUUGACGGGGGCCCGCACAAGCGGUGGAGCAUGUGGUUUAAUUCGAAGCAACGCGAAGAACCUUACCAGGUCUUGACAUCCUCUGACAAUCCUAGAGAUAGGACGUCCCCUUCGGGGGCAGAGUGACAGGUGGUGCAUGGUUGUCGUCAGCUCGUGUCGUGAGAUGUUGGGUUAAGUCCCGCAACGAGCGCAACCCUUGAUCUUAGUUGCCAGCAUUCAGUUGGGCACUCUAAGGUGACUGCCGGUGACAAACCGGAGGAAGGUGGGGAUGACGUCAAAUCAUCAUGCCCCUUAUGACCUGGGCUACACACGUGCUACAAUGGACAGAACAAAGGGCAGCGAAACCGCGAGGUUAAGCCAAUCCCACAAAUCUGUUCUCAGUUCGGAUCGCAGUCUGCAACUCGACUGCGUGAAGCUGGAAUCGCUAGU
rnacentral:rRNA from 1 species